rnacentral:rRNA from 1 species
UACAGAGGUCUCAAGCGUUGUUCGGAUUCAUUGGGCGUAAAGGGUGCGUAGGCGGCGCGGUAAGUCGGGUGUGAAAUCUCGGGGCUUAACUCCGAAACUGCAUUCGAUACUGCCGUGCUUGAGGACUGGAGAGGAGACUGGAAUUUACGGUGUAGCGGUGAAAUGCGUAGAUAUCGUAAGGAAGACCAGUGGCGAAGGCGGCCCCCUGGCUCGUACCUGACGCUCAGCCACGAAAGCAUGGGGAGCGAACGGG